UAGGUGUAGGCGUAGCGAAAGCGAGUCUUAAUAGGGCGCAUGAGUUCGUGGGAUCAGACCCGAAACCGAGUGAUCUAGGCAUGGCCAGGUUGAAGGUAAGGUAACACUUACUGGAGGACCGAACCCACAUCCGUUGAAAAGGAUCGGGAUGAGCUGUGCCUAGGGGUGAAAGGCCAAUCAAACUCGGAGAUAGCUGGUUCUCUGCGAAAUCUAUUUAGGUAGAGCGUCAUCCGAAUACCCCCGGGGGUAGAGCACUGGAUGGGUAAUGGGGCCCC
rnacentral:rRNA from 1 species